rnacentral:rRNA from 1 species
GGAAACAGGUGCUAAUACCGUAUAACACUUUUUUCCGCAUGGAAGAAAGUUGAAAGGCGCUUUUGCGUCACUGAUGGAUGGACCCGCGGUGCAUUAGCUAGUUGGUGAGGUAACGGCUCACCAAGGCCACGAUGCAUAGCCGACCUGAGAGGGUGAUCGGCCACACUGGGACUGAGACACGGCCCAGACUCCUACGGGAGGCAGCAGUAGGGAAUCUUCGGCAAUGGACGAAAGUCUGACCGAGCAACGCCGCGUGAGUGAAGAAGGUUUUCGGAUCGUAAAACUCUGUUGUUAGAGAAGAACAAGGAUGAGAGUAGAACGUUCAUCCCUUGACGGUAUCUAACCAGAAAGCCACGGCUAACUACGUGCCAGCAGCCGCGGUAAUACGUAGGUGGCAAGCGUUGUCCGGAUUUAUUGGGCGUAAAGCGAGCGCAGGCGGUUUCUUAAGUCUGAUGUGAAAGCCCCCGGCUCAACCGGGGAGGGUCAUUGGAAACUGGGAGACUUGAGUGCAGAAGAGGAGAGUGGAAUUCCAUGUGUAGCGGUGAAAUGCGUAGAUAUAUGGAGGAACACCAGUGGCGAAGGCGGCUCUCUGGUCUGUAACUGACGCUGAGGCUCGAAAGCGUGGGGAGCGAACAGGAUUAGAUACCCUGGUAGUCCACGCCGUAAACGAU